UAAUUAUGUAUAAUAACUAUUCUUUAUUUUAUUUAUAUUUCGUAGCUAUAAGUUUUCUCUUAUUUAUUGCCUCGUAACUAGUGCAGUUACUACACUAUAGCAUCUGAAAUACACGGUUCAUGUAUCCAUUCUCCACAAUAUUCUUCUGUUGUCAAGCCAUUUUUUCUUCCAUAAUCCCAAUUUUCUCUCCCAUUCUUCUUAAUCAGUACCACAAUUCUCUCCGUUUUAUCUCUCUUCAAGAUUUGCAUGAUUCUCUCAACAUUAAUCGUUUAUCCACAAAUUAGGGUUUUCACAAAGAAGCUUUUGUGAGUGAUUUUGAUGGCCGAAUGAAACACUCCAACAAGGGUUACUCAAGGCAUCGAUGCAAAAAUUGUUGUAGAGAGGCGUAGUAAGCAUCUUCAUGACCCAAAGAAUAUGCAAUAAAUGGAUACGGAAGUAGCAAAAUCAGUCAAGCGAAAAGGUGACGUACCAGUUAAAAAGGUUCUAAAGUUGUAGCAAAAAAGAGGAGAAAAGUAAAUAACCUUGCUUCUGGAAAAAGGGUAAAAAUGUCGUUGAAGAACAACCAUCUAUUGCAGUUGAGGAUGUGGAAGCAAUGGAGGAGGAGCAUUGAGGUACAAGCAUAGAUGUUUCAGUGCUUCAUAGUUAGAGAGCUAAAUGAUAGUACUCCUGAUGCGUUUAUGAUGGAUAUAAAUGGUACUAUAUUGCGAUUUACCAUUAGAGAGUUUGCAUUCAUGACCAGGUUGAAUUGGGUAUAUGACGAAGGGGAUUUUACAUUUGACCCAGACAGACCAAAUAGGAUUAUGGAAACAUAUCUCGAUGGGUCUGAUAAACUAUAAAAAGAAUUGAGUUGAUUGAACGCUUUAGAUGGUAGGGAUUGUGGUGUGUUUGUGGCAGCAUUUGCCGAAUAUUUGAGUUCGGGUGAAGGUAUACCAGCAGAUAUUGGUGAAAAAUUCUCCGCAAGAGAUACGAUGUACUUCUAUGGGACUACGCUGCACAAAAGGCAGAUGAGAAUGCUUUCACUGACAACGAGGUGCCACCACCCACCAAGACCAGGUAGGCCAACCAUGGAUUGCAAUGCAAUUGAAACAAUAGACGUUAAUGAGUAUUUCCAAUGAAUAUUUUGGGGAUUUGUAAUGCACACUAUUAGUGUUUUGAUUUAGAGAAACUUGGUAUUUUGUACUUGGUACAUUAAUUGUGUUUAUGUUGCAAAGAAUACAGGUUGUUAUCACCCAACAAAUGAAAUGUUUAUUGGUGUGUUGUUUUGAUAUUAGUUGAGGUUGCUAUGACUAAAGUGAAAUUGUGUAUCUAUGACUACAAUGAAAUUGUGUAUCCAUGUAUCUAUGAAUACAGUGACAUUGUUUAUCUAUGUGUCU